rfam:Phialocephala subalpina strain TAMH 11012 genome assembly, contig: PAC_scaffold_029
GGCCUCUUGGUGUAACGGUAGCAUAUUGUCGAGCUUGUCGAGCAACGAUUCGGUUGUGGGUUCAAUUCCCUCAGAGGUCA